rnacentral:rRNA from 1 species
GAGUUUGAUCAUGGCUCAGAACGAACGCUGGCGGCAGGCCUAACACAGCAAGUCGAGCGCACCUUCGGGUGAGCGGCGGACGGGUGAGUAACGCGUGGGAAUAUGCCCUUCUCUGCGGAAUAGCCUCUGGAAACGGAGAGUAAUACCGCAUACGCCCUUCGGGGGAAAGAUUUAUCGGAGAAGGAUUAGCCCGCGUUGGAUUAGGUAGUUGGUGGGGUAAUGGCCUACCAAGCCGACGAUCCAUAGCUGGUUUGAGAGGAUGAUCAGCCACACUGGGACUGAGACACGGCCCAGACUCCUACGGGAGGCAGCAGUGGGGAAUCUUAGACAAUGGGGGAAACCCUGAUCUAGCCAUGCCGCGUGAGUGACGAAGGCCUUAGGGUCGUAAAGCUCUUUCGCCAGGGAAGAUAAUGACUGUACCUGGUAAAGAAACCCCGGCUAACUCCGUGCCAGCAGCCGCGGUAAUAC